rnacentral:rRNA from 1 species
CAGGCCUAACACAUGCAAGUCGAACGGUGGCAGCAAUGUCAUAGUGGCGCACGGGUGCGUAACACGUAACUAACCUACCCAUCAUUGGGGGAUAGCCCGCCGAAAGGCGGAUUAAUACCGCAUAAGACAAUAGAAGGGCAUCCUUUAGUUGUUAAAGAUUUAUUGAUGAUGGAUGGGGUUGCGGGUCAUUAGCUAGUUGGUAAGGUAACGGCUUACCAAGGCGACGAUGACUAGGGGGGCUGAGAGGCUGGUCCCCCACACGGGCACUGAGAUACGGGCCCGACUCCUACGGGAGGCAGCAGUAGGGAAUAUUGGGCAAUGGGCGAGAGCCUGACCCAGCCAUGCCGCGUGCCGGAUGAAGGCGCUCAGCGUUGUAAACGGCUUUUGACUGGGAAGAACGGCAGGUUUGCGAACUUGUGUGACGGUACCAGCAGAAUAAGCACCGGCUAACUCCGUGCCAGCAGCCGCGGUAAU